rnacentral:rRNA from 1 species
GACGAACGCUGGCGGCGUGGAUUAGGCAUGCAAGUCGAACGGUAGGAUCCUUUCGGGGAUCUGAGAGUGGCGAACGGGUGAGUAACACGUAGGUGAUCUACCCUCAAGACGGGGACAACCCAGGGAAACUUGGGCUAAUACCGGAUGUGAGCUAUCGCGAGAUAGUUUGAAAGGUGGCUUCGGCUGCCGCUUGAGGAUGAGCCUGCGUCCUAUUAGCUAGUUGGUGAGGUAACGGCUCACCGAGGCAGUGAUAGGUAGGCGGCCUUAACGGGUGGUCGCCCACACUGGGAUUGAGAUACGGCCCAGACUCCUACGGGAGGCAGCAGUCGAGAAUAGUCUACAAUGGUCGAAAGACUGAUAGUGCGACGCCGCGUGAACGAAGAAGCCCUUCGGGGUGUAAAGUUCUUUUAUAUGUGAGCAGUGACACCCAUAUUAAUAGUAUGGGUGUAGAGAUAUUAGCAUAUGAAUAAGCAACGGCUAACUCCGUGCCCAGCACG